rnacentral:rRNA from 1 species
GAUGAACGCUAGCGGCAGGCCUAAUACAUGCAAGUCGAACGGUGUAGCAAUACACAGUGGCGCACGGGUGCGUAACACGUAUGCAACCUACCUUACAUUGGGGGAUAGCCUUUCGAAAGGGAGAUUAAUACCGCAUAAGACAGUAACUAGGCAUCUAGUAGCUGUUAAAGAUUUAUCGAUGUAAGCUGGGCAUGCGUCCAAUUAGUUAGUUGGCGAGGUAAUGGCUCACCAAGACGAUGAUUGGUAGGGGAACUGAGAGGUCAAUCCCCCACACUGGCACUGAGAUACGGGCCAGACUCCUACGGGAGGCAGCAGUAGGGAAUAUUGGGCGAUGGGCGCAAGUCUGACCCAGCCAUGCCGCGUGCAGGAAGAAGGCGUUAUGCGUUGUAAACUGCUUUUAUACAGGAAGAAACGACCCUUGCGAGGGGCAUUGACGGUACUGUAUGAAUAAGCACCGGCUAACUCCGUGCCAGCAGCCGCCGUAACAC